rnacentral:misc_RNA from 1 species
GUGGCAAUGCAGCAAUUUUCAGCAGAUAUAGACCUGUGCUUGUUUAUCUUAAGAGGUGUUAAGAGAGAGGAGAGUGGGAUCUUUUUAGCAAAUAAAUGAAAAUGCUUGAUAUAUUUGAGUGGUAAAGUAGUAUACUUUCUAGUAAAUGGAGAGGAUAUUUUUGAUUAUGGGCUUCUGGGUAUCGAUAGAUCUCCAUGAAGGAUCAAAAAAAGAGGGUAGCACCUCGAUUGAAGAGAAUACCAGGUGUGGCAUCUUAUGAGAUUUGCAGGUACCAGUAGCCAGUCACCACCACCCGGCACUAAUCAAAUGUCAAGUAAAUGGAAUACUCCCUUUGUUUUAAUUCUAGAGCACAGUU